CCUCAUCAAGUUUUACUUUCAAUUUUCGAUUGUAAGGAUGAAAGUAGAACUUUACAAUGGAUUCAAUAGGGGCUAUUUCAUUUAUAUUGAUAUUGGGAGCAGGAAGGGAUUUCCAAAUAAAACCAUAACCAAGGUUUCUUGCAUAAAUAACAUUGACGUAUCAAUCUUAAAUUAUCCACAAUUCAUGUUAAAAAAGUUUUUUUUUGUUCCUACGAAACACACAUUUGUUAAAAUGGAAUAGCCCUUAUAAAUGGGGUACUUAUUUUCAUGGGUUCUAAGUAUGAUGUGGGCAAAGGGUGAACUAUGAAAUAAAGAGUUCAUU
rnacentral:lncRNA from 1 species